GUGGUCAAGUUGUUAAGGGCACAUGGUGGAUGUCUUGGCUUCAGGAGCCGAUGAAGGACGUGGGAGGCUGCGAUAUGCCUCGGGGAGCUGUCAACCGAGCUGUGAUCCGAGGAUUUCCGAAUGGGGAAACCCAGCACCAGUUAUGUGGUGUUACCCGCAUCUGAAUAUAUAGGGUGUGUGGAGGGAACGCGGGGAAGUGAAACAUCUCAGUACCCGUAGGAAGAGAAAACAACCGUGAUUCCGUGAGUAGUGGCGAGCGAAAGCGGAAGAGGCUAAACCAUGCACAUGUCAAGCUGUCAGGCGUUGUGUGUGUGGUGUUGUGGGACCCAGCGUCGAGGAUCUGACAGUCCUCGGAAUGAUCGCGCGUGUUAGUGGAACCAUCUGGGAUGGUGGACCGGAGUGGGUGAGAGUCCCGUACGCGAAAACACGUUGUGGAUUGUUUGUUUGGUGUUCCCGAGUAGCAGCGAGCUCGUGGAAUUUGCUGUGAAUCUGCCGGGACCACCCGGUAAGCCUAAAUACUUCCUGAAGACCGAUAGCGGACUAGUACCGUGAGGGAAAGAUGAAAAGUACCCCGGGAGGGGAGUGAAAGAGUACCUGAAACCGUGUGCCUACAAGCCGUCAGAGCCCGAGCAACAUCUUUGAUGUUUACGGUGAUGGCGUGCCUUUUGAAGAAUGAGCCUGCGAGUUAGUGCUGCGUGGCGAGGUUAACCCGUGUGGGGUAGCCGUAGCGAAAGCGAGUCUGAAUAGGGCGUCUCCAGUCGCGUGGUCUAGACCCGAAGCGGAGUGAUCUACCCAUGGCCAGGCUGAAGCGUCGGUAAGACGACGUGGAGGGCCGAACCCACUUAGGUUGAAAACUGAGGGGAUGAGCUGUGGGUAGGGGUGAAAGGCCAAUCAAACUCCGUGAUAGCUGGUUCUCCCCGAAAUGCAUUUAGGUGCAGCGUCACAUGUUUCACCACGGGGGUAGAGCUACUGGAUGGUCUAGGGGCCUUACCGGGUUACCGAAAUCAACCAAACUCCGAAUACCGUGGUGUGAGAGUGUGGCAGUGAGACGGCGGGGGAUAAGCUUCGUCGUCGAGAGGGAAACAGCCCAGAACACCAGCUAAGGCCCCCAAGUGUGUGCUCAGUGGGAAAGGAUGUGGGAUUGCCCAGACAACCAGGAGGUUGGCUUAGAAGCAGCCACCCUUGAAAGAGUGCGUAAUAGCUCACUGGUCAAGUGGUCCUGCGCCGACAAUGUAGCGGGGCUUAAGCACA
rnacentral:rRNA from 1 species